AUAUAGCUCAGUGGUAGAGCACUUGGCUUUCAUGUGUGAAGCCUUGGGUUCAAUUCCCAGUAU
rnacentral:tRNA from 1 species